GCGGGUCGUACCGCACUUUAGCAGGGGAGGACAGCCUCUAGGUUAAGAGCCUAGGUGGAGGACGUUACCCAAAGAAUAACCACCGGCUAACUCCGUGCCAGCAGCCGCGGUAAUACGGGGGGUGCAAGCGUUAAACGGAAUUACUGGGCGUAAAGGGUCGGUAGGUGGUUUGUUAAGUCAGAUGUGAAAUCCCAGGGCUCAACCUUGGAACUGCAUUUGAUACUGGCAAACU
rnacentral:rRNA from 1 species